rnacentral:rRNA from 1 species
CCGCUGUUUAUCAAAAACAUAGCCUUAAGAAAUAAUUUAAGGUAAGCCCUGCCCAGUGGAGAUAUUCUUAACGGCCGCAGUACCUUGACUGUGCUAAGGUAGCGUAAUCAGUUGGCUUUUAAAUGGAGUCCAGAAUGAACGGGGCCAUGGGGAGAGACUGUCUCUUUUUUAAUUAAUUUAACUUGCUUAAUAGGUGAAAAUACCUUUUUAAAGAAAAAAGACGAGAAGACCCUUAGAGCCUAACAAUAUAAUAUAAUUUAUUUGUUUUUGUUGGGGCGACAAGAAGACAAUAACUUAACUCUUCUUUUAUACUAAACGAUUAUAAUAUAAAAGAACAGGCUACCUUAGGGAUAACAGCAUAAUUAUUUUUAGUUUGUGACCUCGAUGUUGGACUAGGAACUUGAUGACUAGUCGUCAAUAAAGGAAA